GGCCUGUUAGCUUAAGUAUAAAGCGUCUGACUUUUAAUCGGAUGAUGGUUUAGUCCACGGGCUA
rfam:Strongyloides papillosus strain LIN genome assembly, scaffold: SPAL_contig0000522